GACGAACGCUGGCGGCGUGCCUAACACAUGCAAGUUGAGCGACGAACCAGGGCUUGCCCUGGGGCAAAGCAGCGAACGGGUGAGUAACACGUGGGUAACCUACCCCGAUAACCGGGACAACCCGAGGAAACUCGGGCUAAUACCGGAUGUGCUCACUGGACUUCGGUUCAGUGCGUAAAGGAAGCUUCGGCCUCCGUAUCGGGAGGGGCCCGCGGCCCAUUAGUUUGUUGGUGAGGUAACGGCUCACCAAGACCGCGAUGGGUAGCUGGUCUGAGAGGACGAUCAGCCACACUGGGACUGAGACACGGCCCAGACUCCUACGGGAGGCAGCAGUGGGGAAUCUUGCGCAAUGCGCGAAAGCGUGACGCAGCAACGCCGCGUGGGGGAAGAAGGCCUUCGGGUUGUAAACCCCUUUCAGGAGGGACGAAGGUUCGGCGGUGAAUAGCCGUCCGGACUGGCGGUACCUCCACAAGAAGCCCCGGCUAACUACGUG
rnacentral:rRNA from 1 species